UUUCCGUAGGUGAACCUGUGGAAGGAUCAUUAGUGAACGCCCUCACGGUCUUAUCACUAUUUCAAACCACUGUGAACCGUGCCCUUCGGGGCUAUUCUACAAACAUGGUGUCAUGAACGUCAUAUAUCAUAACAAAACAAAACUUUCAACAACGGAUCUCUUGGCUCUU
rnacentral:misc_RNA from 1 species